rnacentral:rRNA from 1 species
GAUGAACGCUAGCGGCAGGCUUAAUACAUGCAAGUCGAGGGGGAUCAGUUGGGUAGCAAUACCUGGCUGUGAGACCGGCAAACGGGUGAGGAACACGUACGCAACUUUCCCAAAACUGGUGAAUAGCCCUCCGAAAGGAGGAUUAAUACACCGUAACAUAACGAAAUGGCAUCAUUUUGUUAUUAUAGCAGCAAUGCGGUUUUGGAUAGGCGUGCGCCUGAUUAGGUAGUUGGCGGGGUAACGGCCCACCAAGCCUACGAUCAGUAACUGGUGUGAGAGCACGACCAGUCACACGGGCACUGAGACACGGGCCCGACUCCUACGGGAGGCAGCAGUAAGGAAUAUUGCUCAAUGGCCGAAAGGCUGAAGCAGCAACGCCGCGUGGAGGAUGAAAUACUUUUGUAUGUAAACUCCUGUAAGAAGGGAAAAAUAUUUCGAUUUAUCGGAAUUGAUUGUACCUUCAGAGUAAGCACCGGCUAACUACGUGCCAGCAGCCGCGGUAAA